AGCGGUGAAAUGCGUAGAUAUUAGGAGGAACACCAGUGGCGAAGGCGACUUUCUGGACUGUAACUGACACUGAGGCUCGAAAGCUAGGGGAGCGAACGGGAUUAGAUACCCCGGUAGUCCUAGCUGUAAACGAUGGGUAGUAGGUGUAGGAGGUAUGGACCCCUUCUGUGCCGGAGUUAACGCAAUAAGUACUCCGCCUGGGGAGUACGGCCGCAAGGUUGAAACUCAAAGGAAUUGACGGGGGCCCGCACAAGCGGUGGAGUAUGUGGUUUAAUUCGACGCAACGCGAAGAACCUUACCAGGACUUGACAUUGAUUGAAAAGUAUAGAGAUAUAUUCCUCUUCUUCGGAAGACAAGAAAACAGGUGGUGCAUGGCUGUCGUCAGAUCGUGUCGUGAGAUGUUGGGUUAAGUCCCGCAAAGAGCGCAACCCCUAUCCUAUGUUGCCAGCACGUAAAGGUGGGAACUCAUGGGAGACUGCCGCGGAGAACGCGGAGGAAGGCGGGGAUGACGUCAAGUCAUCAUGCCCCUUAUGUCUUGGGCUACACACGUACUACAAUGGGCUUAAAUAGAGGGAAGCAAGACCGCGAGGUGGAGCCAAACCCACAAACAAGCUCUCAGUUCGGAUUGUAGGCUGCAACUCGCCUACAUGAAGUCGGAAUCGCUAGUAAGCGCAGGUCAGCAUACUGCGGUGAAUACGUCCCGUGGCAGGUACACACCGCCCGUCACACCACGAAAGUCAGUCACACCCAAAGCCG
rnacentral:rRNA from 1 species